GAUAUCAGUAUCUAGAUACUAUUCACCACAUCAGUGAAUGCUGAGGAAAACAGGAAGCUUGCACAGAGAGAGAAGGACUUUGAGAUCUUCAUCUUCAGACAAUCUUGUGUGCCCUCUUGCCUUUGGUCCCCUCACAUACAAUGUGGUCAUUUUGAUAUGACUGAAGUCACAGAACUGCUGAUCAUCCCAACAGCAAGCCAAGCAGAAUGUUCAUUGGAAUGUUCAAGACUGGAAUAAGGAUGGUGAAAAUGUCAGCAGCACCAUACAAGUGCAAUGCGAAAACAGCAGCAAUUUCAAACCUUGAGAAGUGUGUGUUCAGAGGAAUUGAUAAACAGAAGCAUGCUCCAACUUCAGCUAGUUUGUCUUCUGGAAUUUAACAGCAACUGGUGAUGUUAUAUGCACUGGUAUCACUUGAAGAAUCCCAGUUAACACAGUCCAAAGUGUUUUAGGAAAGAGAAUGUGGAGGUGGAAACAUUGCAUGUGAGCUUCCUGACACUCUCCAUCCAGUCAGCAUAAUCUCUGUGAUGCCUGCCUGUGAAAUGCCCCACUGCAUCCCAGUUGAACACAAGAUUACUCCUUUUUUUCCCAAGUCUGAAGCCAUCAGUGCUGCUCUACAGUCAUAAACAACUGGUUUUGGUCCAGCUGAGAGGCAGCUGCUUUGAGUGGUGGGGGAAGGUCCUGCUAUACCAAGUUUGAUUUCUCAGUGUCAGGAGAGGACUAAGGUAAACUCCUGAGGGAUCAUGUAUAGGACUUUCCACUUGACUCCUGCUGCUCCAUCAAGAAUAAAUCCCAAGAAUCACAAAGCACUUGUGAAGCUGCAUCUGCAGUGCUGGAUCCUGCUCUGGGUUUCCCAGUACAACAGAGAGGUGGAACUGCAGGAGAAAAAUCCAUCAAAAUGUCACUGAGAUGAUGAAGGAAUUGGAGCUUCUCUUGUAUCACUGAAGGCUAAGACAACUGUGACUGUUCAUCCUGGAGAGGAUGAGGCUUAGGGCAUCUUAUAAAGCACCUAACGACUUACAUGAAAGUGCACUUUUUCAUCUCCAAGGAUGAAGAAGAAAAUGAAGAUGUGCCUGUGCAGGGUCAGCUUUGUCCCAAAGACUGAACGAUAGUCAUCAAAGCAAAAUAUUCACUAAUUUGAUGAGUGGA